ensembl:lncRNA
GUCUGUACUGUGUGUGUGUGUGUGUGUCUGUGUGGUGGUCAGUGUAAUGACUACUGUACUGGUCAGUGUACUGUAGUCUCUAAGACUCACCACAGAGUGAGACUGGUACCUGCCGACAGGGACUGAGAGAUAUCGGUCUCCCUGUGCGAUGGUUCUAUACAAAACACUAACGUUCAGAAGAGACUUUGUGUGUGUGUGAGAGAGAGAGAGGUCAGUGUGUGAGAGAGAGAGUGAGGUCAGUGUGUGAGAGAGAGGGUGAGGUCAGUGUGUGUGUGUGUGAGAGAGAGAGGUCAGUGUGUGAGAGAGAGAGAGAGGUCAGUGUGUGAGAGAGAGUGAGAGGUCAGUGUGUGUGUGUGAGAGAGAGAGAGG